UACGUAGGGGGCGAGCGUUGUCCGGAUUUAUUGGGCGUAAAGAGCUCGUAGGCGGUUAGAUAAGUCGGAUGUGAAAUCUCCACGCUCAACGUGGAGGGGCCAUUCGAUACUGUCGUGACUCGAGUCCGGUAGGGGAGUGUGGAAUUCCCGGUGUAGCGGUGAAAUGCGCAGAGAUCGGGAGGAACACCCGUAGCGAAGGCGGCACUCUGGGCCGGUACUGACGCUGAGGAGCGAAAGCUAGGGGAGCAAACGGG
rnacentral:rRNA from 1 species